UUUGAGUUUGAUCUUGGCUCAGGACGAACGCUGGAGGCGUGCCUAAUACAUGCAAGUUGAGCGCUGAAGGUUGGUACUUGUACCGACUGGAUGAGCAGCGAACGGGUGAGUAACGCGUGGGGAAUCUGCCUUUGAGCGGGGGACAACAUUUGGAAACGAAUGCUAAUACCGCAUAAAAACUUUAAACACAAGUUUUAAGUUUGAAAGAUGCAAUUGCAUCACUCAAAGAUGAUCCCGCGUUGUAUUAGCUAGUUGGUGAGGUAAAGGCUCACCAAGGCGAUGAUACAUAGCCGACCUGAGAGGGUGAUCGGCCACAUUGGGACUGAGACACGGCCCAAACUCCUACGGGAGGCAGCAGUAGGGAAUCUUCGGCAAUGGACGAAAGUCUGACCGAGCAACGCCGCGUGAGUGAAGAAGGUUUUCGGAUCGUAAAACUCUGUUGGUAGAGAAGAACGUUGGUGAGAGUGGAAAGCUCAUCAAGUGACGGUAACUACCCAGAAAGGGACGGCUAACUACGUGCCAGCCGCCGCCGUAACACA
rnacentral:rRNA from 1 species